CCAUGAUGGAGGCAGGAUAUAGGAAAAUUGUCAGUGGCUUCCAGCUAAUACAGCUCACUGGUGGUUUCAGGCUGUCUGGGGAAUAGUGACCAGGAACAGCAAGUGGGACAAACAAGGAGGGCCAGGAACUGAAUGCUCUUGAUCCUUAUUGGUUCCUUCCAACUCAGCAUGCUCUGCUAUUCCAUUCUUUGAUAGCAAUUUGCAGUUUGUUACCUAAGUCCUCCAAAGAGUACAAGGCAGAAAGCAAGAGCUGAAACUCAGUUUUGGCUCAAGGCAGACUCCUAACAUGCCAGACUGGUAACAUCCCUAAGAGAGCUCUAGGCUGAGGUAGCCUGGAAGGCUGGAAAGCCCAUUUUCACCACAACACAAGGGAAUUCCAGCUCUUCAUUUCAUCUGGCCAAGCAGAAAAAAAUCAGACCUUCAUGAGAGGCCAGGUUAUCUUUGGCUUUACCAGCUUCAAGAAAAAUUGGUAGUCUUUUGAUAAUCUAAUUGUAUAAGGCUAACUGUUUUUAAUUGUCCCAGUUAUUUUCUUAUAAAGCCUCAGAAAAGUUACCAGGUUUUCAUGCUUUACUCAAAGCUCAUAAGAAGCAUGAAGUCCCUCGACACCAACUUAAUGGAGUUACUCCCUCAGCUCCAGAUCCAUCCUUCCAGCUUCAGUGACUUUGUGAAUGGGAUUAUCUUAUAAAAGCUUCUGAGCCAGUUUUCUUUUCUAGCAUUCAAAAUGCCCUCACUUUGCUGGUGCAAGUGAAGUUAAAGUUCCUAUGACACUUCCAUGUCCUUUUCAUCCAACUUCUACUUGAUCCUUUCCCUUGCAAAGUACUUUAAUAUGCUAAGGGUGCAAUGGUUACACUCAAUUAAACCACUGGCUUGGUUCAUCCCUCAAUAUC